rnacentral:misc_RNA from 1 species
GAAAUGCGAUAAGUAGUGUGAAUUGCAGAAAUUGUGAAUCAUCGAAUCUUUGAACGCAAAUUGCACUCUCUGGUAUUCCGGGGAGUAUGCCUGUUUGAGGGUCGUUAGAACAAAAAAUCGAAGCGUCGCUCUUUUACGAAAUAUUAUUAUAUUUUGUUUGGGUGAUUGCGUCGGAAUUGAGCCGUCUUUCACAUGUUAAUUCAUGUCAAAGUGACUUAAAAUUCAUCAAUCUGGUACGAUUUAAAGCGUAUUUAAGAUCAAUCUUGAUUAAGAACGCGCGAUGACGUACCAUCAUAUGUAGUACGUUCGACCUGCUUGUCAGGCUCAUUCGUAUACGACACUCAACUUUUGACCUCAAAUCAGGUAAGAAUACCCGCUGAACUUAA